rnacentral:rRNA from 1 species
AACGAGCACAACCCUUGCCUUUAGUUGCCAGCAUUAAGUUGGGCACUCUAGAGGGACUGCCAGGGAUAACCUGGAGGAAGGUGGGGAUGACGUCAAAUCAUCAUGCCCCUUAUGCUUAGGGCUACACACGUGCUACAAUGGGUGGUACAGAGGGCAGCCAAGUCGUGAGGCGGAGCUAAUCCCUUAAAGCCAUUCUCAGUUCGGAUUGUAGGCUGAAACUCGCCUACAUGAAGCUGGAGUUACUAGUAAUCGCAGAUCAGAAUGCUGCGGUGAAUGCGUUCCCGGGUCUUGUACACACCGCCCGUCACACCACGGAAGUUGGGGGCGCCCGAAGCCGGAUUGCUAACCUUUUGGAAGCGUCCGUCGAAGGUGAAAUCAAUAACUGGGGUGAAGUCGUAACAAGGUAACC